rnacentral:tRNA from 1 species
GGGGUGAUGGCUCAGUUGGGAGAGCGUAUGACUGAAGAUCAACUUCAAUCCAGCCACCAAGGCAAUCAUAAGGUCCCCGGUUCGAUCCCGGGUCACCCCA